CUGUAGCUCAGUAGUAGAGCACCUGCUUUGCAUGCAGAAGGUCCCAGGUUUGAGACCUAGCAUCACUGA